rnacentral:rRNA from 1 species
GUGCAGCAGUCGCGAAAACUCCGCAAUACGCGAAAGCGUGACGGGGCCAUCCCGAGUGCCGUCCGCUGAGGAUGGCUUUUCUCUGCUGUAAGAAGGCAGAGGAAUAAGGAGAGGGCAAGUCUGGUGUCAGCCGCCGCGGUAAUACCAGCUCUCCGAGUGGUGGGGAUGUUUAUUGGGCCUGAAGCAUCCGUAGCUGGCUGAGCAAGUUCUCCGUUAAAUCCAGCGAUUUAAUCGUUGGACUGCGGAGGAUACUGUUCGGCUAGGGGGCGGGAGAGGCCGACGGUAUUCUCGGGGUAGGGGUGAAAUCCUAUAAUCCCGGGAAGACCACCAGUGGCGAAGGCUGUCGGCUAGAACGCGCCCGACGGUGAGGGAUGAAAGCUGGGGGAGCGAACCGGAUUAGAUACCCCUGUAGUCC